AAACUAAGGAAUCUGAAAAGAUUGGUAGAGGAGCAUUGCAUGCGGGAAGAAGCAGUACCGGAAGGAGCUGUGGACUGCAUGGAAGAGAGAAUGCCGGAAUGAGUAGCGAGAUAGAGGUGGGAAUCCUCUAGGCCGAAUAUCCAAGGUUUCCAGGGUAAAGCUGAUCUGCCCUGGGUGAGUCGGGACCUAAGGUGAGGGCGAGAGCCGUAGCCGAUGGACAACAGGUUGAUAUUCCUGUACUGCAGUAUGACAGAACUGUGGGGACACGUAAGGAGAGCGGGAGCCGGGAAUGGAAAGCCCGGUACAAGCGAGGUACCAGUCACAUAGGAAAAUCCGUGUGGCAAUGGGAAGACGUGAUGUGGAGCGAAGAUUAGUAGCGAAGCCCGUGAGCCAUGCGUCAAGAAAAGCCGCUAUCGUUCAUAUUGUACCCGUACCGUAAACCGACACAGGUGGAUGAGGAGAGAAUCCUAAGGCCGGCGGAAGAAGUAUUGCCAAGGAACUCGGCAAAAUGGCCCCGUAACUUAGGGAGAAGGGGUGCCUGCGAGAGCAGGCCGCAGAGAAUAGGCUCAAGCAACUGUUUAGCAAAAACACAGGUCUAUGCGAAACCGAAAGGUGAGGUAUAUGGGCUGACGCCUGCCCGGUGCUGGAAGGUUAAGAGGAGAGGUUAGACGUAAGUCGAAGCUUUGAAUUUAAGCCCCAGUAAACGGCGGCCGUAACUAUAACGGUCCUAAGGUAGCGAAAUUCCUUGUCGGGUAAGUUCCGACCCGCACGAAAGGCGUAAUGAUUUGAGCGCUGUCUCGGCAAUACAUCCGGUGAAAUUGAAGUGCCAGUGAAGAUGCUGGCUACCCGCGCCAGGACGGAAAGACCCCAUGGAGCUUUACUCCAGUUUGGCACUGGGGUCCGGUGUUGCAUGUACAGGAUAGGUGGGAGGCUGAGAAACGGUAACGUCAGUUGCCGCGGAGCCGCUGUUGGGAUACCACCCUUGUGAUAUUGGGCUUCUAACCAGCCGCCGUAAUCCGGCGGUGGGACAAUGCCAGGCGGGGAGUUUGACUGGGGCGGUCGCCUCCGAAAGGGUAUCGGAGGCGCCCAAAGGUUCCCUCAGAAUGGACGGAAACCAUUCGAAGAGUGCAAAGGCAGAAGGGAGCUUGACUGCGACACCGACGGGUGGAGCAGGUACGAAAGUAGGGCUUAGUGAUCCGGUGGUAUUAAGUGGGAAUGCCAUCGCUCAACGGAUAAAAGCUACCCUGGGGAUAACAGGCUUAUCACUCCCAAGAGUUCACAUCGACGGAGUGGUUUGGCACCUCGAUGUCGGCUCAUCGCAUCCUGGGGCUGUAGUA
rnacentral:rRNA from 1 species